rnacentral:piRNA from 1 species
UGAGAUGCUCUCAUAGGAUGUGCUAAUGGCU